UGUUCGAGCGUCAUUAUAACCACUCAAGCCCUGGCUUGGUAUUGGAGUUCGCGGUUUCGCGGCCCCUAAAAUCAGUGGCGGUGCCGGUUGGCUCUAAGCGUAGUAAAUUUCCUCGCUAUAGGGUCCCUCCGGUGACUUGCCAGAACCCCCAAUUUUUUAAGGUUGACCUCGGAUCAGGUAGGGAUACCCGCUGAACUUAA
rnacentral:misc_RNA from 1 species